CAUCAGGUGAAGAUGUGCGUGAUUUCACCAAGGUGCUGAAAAAUAACUUCAGAUCAAAGAAAUACUUUGCCAAACAUCCUCGCUUGGGUUAUUUACCACUACAAACAGUCCUAGAAGACGAGGAAAUAUUAGUGAUGCAAUGAAGAGUUUGAUGAUAAAAUAUAAUUACUGUUACGGUUUCCUCUUGGACGAAAUAUUCUCAUCAAAUUGACUGGUCAAGGAAAUGGGACACUGACUGUGAGUACUUUGAGUGUUUAAGUGAUUCCUAAAAUGAAAAUUAUGACCUUGAUUUCUCUUGCAUGCAGAUAUGAAGAGACUAUUUUAAAAAUCCUCUCGGUUCGUGGUUCAGGCAUAAAGGUGUCACAUGUAUAUUUAUGUAUAUACAUGUACAUGUGUAAUCUGAAAAGAAAAUGACGAUAAAUCACUUGUUACAAGUUCCUCAAGCUUUAGCAUAAACUGGUGGAGACUUUCGGCGCUUGCAAAAAGGCUCACCUCUCUGUUAAUACUGAAGGAAAAUUGGAGUUUAAAAGUAAGUUCACCCGGUGUCAGGGAAUGAAAUGUUAAUGUUGACUUGAAUAUAAUUUUUAAAAAAGUAAUAUAUUUGUGUAGCACUAAACUCAAAUUAAAAUUUGGAUAUGCCAGUUGACUCCUGUUUGACACUGGAUGGAAUGGCGGUGACAUCAGAUUCAGUGAUGAUUGAGAAUCUAAAGAAUAUGAGGAUAAGAUUUAAAAUCCAAAUAUCAUUGAACUCUUCAAGAAAUGUAUUACUGGAAAAGGGGGAAAGCAUGUAUGUCUAUUAGAAUUGAAUACACUCUGAAGGCGGUGGCACAGAUGAAACAGACCUGUGUGCUAAAACUUAUCACAAAUUUCACAUUGAAUGGAACAGUUUAAACAGGCUGGAGGAAGCAGACAUGCCAGCGCAAACUUUUGAAUUUGUGCAUUCUGUUCAUAAACAUCAGCAAAAUUGUGGGAACCUGUUUAUUCUUUCUCUUUUAUUGCACAGAACCAUACGAUUACACUAAUUUUGAUGAGGAAUUUAAAGAUUAUGAGCCCCGUCCGUUUGACCCGCAGUUUGGCACCAUAGGUUGGCACGAUCUUCGUUCGAGAAGGAAGAGGGAUGUUCCAGACACAGAAAAUCGUCAAACCAUUUACUACAAAGUCUGUUUCUGCUUAGUAUUAAUUAAUGCAGUUAACAUUUUCAGAUCGACAUGAUUGCAGAAUGGAGUCAAUAAAACAAAUUCCAUCUGAUAUUCAACAUAAAUUUUAAGUUUAGAAUAACAAGCUCACAAGAGCUUGGUUUUAGAUAUCACUUGGGACCACAGACUAACAGACAAAGGAACAAAGCAAAACGACUCUGCGAUUUGAUGUAGAAACUCCUGACUCCGAAGCCUGCAGCCGCCCUCCAAUUCUCAAGUCAGAAGUGUGCCAAUGAUGGUGCAGAUCCAACAACACUGGAAACGAUCUUGAGUCUAGACCAAAGCAGCCCCUUGAUUGGCACCGUAUCCAUUCUCUCCACAACCAACUCCAAGACACAAUAAUGUGUCCAUAUACAAGAUGCACUGCCACAUUUUUUUCCAACUAUUCUUACACCCGCCUUUCCAGACUUAGAAAACUCAUCUUCAAGGUCAAGGACAUCAGACAUGGUAGCACUAAUCCCAGUAAAAAUCACCUCCAAGCUACUCUCAAACUUAUUUGGAAAUGAAUGAUUGUUCCUGAGUCAAUAUUAGUAAUCUCUUUUGGAACAGCAUUGUGGGUCUGUGUACAGCAACAUGAAGCUGUUCAAGAAGUCAAUUUGUGCUGGACAAUCAGCAACAGCUAUGUCUCAUUAAAGAAUAAAUAAAUCGGAAAGAAAUCCAUCUGAGAGUCACAAGCAAAUGGAGAAGGAGCGGGAGCAGCAGAGGAAGUGACGAGGACCAGAGGGGCAGCCGGGAAGGAAAGCAGUGAGUAUAAAUACUCACCCUUCGACGCCAACGGCCAUUAUGAGUGCGAGCAGCAGCAGAGGCAAGAUGGACCCGGAAGACUGCAGCUAAGAUGCGGAUAAAGUUCUCCAAGCUGACAGAAAUUGAAAGCACUCGCAUCCUGUGACGAUGGGGUAGGAGUGGAAGAA